rnacentral:rRNA from 1 species
UUGGUCUUGGCUAGGCAGCAGGGGGUCUUUGUCGUUCGGGGUGGGGUGUGGUUUGGGUGGCGGCGAGGUGGUAGUUUGCGGCGGGUUGGAGGGGCGCCGGGGGUGCGGCGAGGGACGGGGUGGGCGGUCGCUCGUUUGGGGUGGGGUCGAGUGUGUUGAGCGUGCGGUAGGGUAGCGUAGGGUAGGGUGGACCGCUUCCGCCUUCUUUUUUGUCAAGAGAGCGGCCGGCCAGCGGAAACGACGGCUCUAGAGGUAGGGUGAGUUGGGUUGGGUUUGGCCCUAGCGAAGGGCAGGGAGAGGGCUAAAGGCGAGGGGCCAGAGGUGUAAAGAGGCGGAUAAAGCAAGAAAAAGGGGCACCAGAAAGUUUGAGGAGAGGAGAGGGGUCGGUCCGCGGUGAACCUGAGGGGCGGGCGGGCGGGCGGGCAGGGCGCGGCCGCAGCGGGCCCGGGGCGGUCGACCUCGCGGAGCCCGCAAAGCGAAAGCGGGCGCCCGGCGGGGACGGACGGGCAGGGGUCUACGCGCAACGGAGCGCCUCCUAUCGCACCACCACUAACCUCAGCCUCUCCGCCUCCUCCUCCUCCGCCGCCUUACCCCAAGACCUACCCGGACCGCUACCCCCAGCGGCGGCCGCAGCGCGAGUAGCAGCGGAAGCGGGCGACGCUCUUGAGGGCGCCGCGCGCGGCGGCCUUCGACCGACGGUGCCAACGAUGAAAGAGAUUUUACUGCCAACUUCUAAGUGCGUUCAAUGAAGGUCCGUCGGAGAUGGGUAGGACCCAACAAAAGAGAUGCGUCGUUUUCGAUUUUACCGAAUUACUCCUCGAGUUGUUUUAUACCGGGAAACACUUACUCCGUCGUAGUCUUGAGUAGUUUCGGAGGCAACUCGGACAAGAACUUGUUAUAUCCGGUCACCAGAAACGACGGGAGUGCAAGAGUUUUGAGUGAGAACCGUGACAACGUGGCGUCAAAUGACCAUAAAGCUAGUAACUCUCAUUACUUCUUCCAUAGCAAUACCUCGAUCUCUACUUAACCCUACGGUUAGGUUCAUAGUAUAACCUACAUUUUUGAUCUGAACCCCACCCCAAUGGUUAUGUCCUGUAGCCGAAGUGCCCUCAAAAGGCGAACUAAAAGUUUGGCGACCAACUUGUUGACGGAACGAAACCUCGACAAACAAAAAGAGAUUCUGUCUUCUUUUUUGACCUAAAGUUUAACUUCCAGUAACCACCGCUAUAAAGACGAUAAGGACCUUAAAGUCGACGAGAACUCCUUUGAUAUUUUUUACGAUAACUUCUGAGUUAUUGUACCGGUCAUUCCUUUCAGUAAGGAUAUCAUGGACCCCUGAUGUCACUAGACCUUGACUUCGGACAGCCGUGUAACCUUCAGUUCGAACACGUUCGUUCUCUAAACUGUUUGUUCCUAGACUAUCCUUUUAGCCUAGGAAAACGGUGAAAUAUAUAGGCUGGUAACGGUCUGUUUUGGUUCUCUUCAUUUUGUUAAUUGUUACUAGAGUUAGGGUAAACCUUACUUGUGAAGCUCAAAUAACAACUUCUACGACUAUGAGUCUCGCACUGUCAGUUCUAAAUACUGCUACUGCCAUAAGUCCUUAGACUAGACUAACCGACACGAGUUCAAUCGGACUUCCUAGAAGUUGGACCGUUUCACUUCCUACAGACCGACUUCGAACAUUUUCUAAACCUCUAAGUUUCUCUGUCCUUUCUAGCACCAGUCCACGUGGAACUCGAUCAAAUAAUAGGUAUAUUGUACUUCCUACUCUGAGGUUUAGGAAAAUUUGUUGUAAAAAGCUACUGAAGGAAUCUCUCCUGUUACUGUUCAUUACCUUUACCUAGUCGUUCGUUUCUAAUACCGUCCAACAGUAGUUCCUUCUCUUUCCUUCAAUAGGACGCUCCCCAAGAGGUUCAUUGACACUAUAGACCACUUCUAGACGGUCGUUACCUAUACUUACCUUUCAGACUGGGUAUACAACAUCAAAGAGAGUUCUUUUGUUUUUGUUUCGUGUUCUGUUCCCAACACUUACUUUCGAACUUGGGUCAAACCUUAGUUUGAAAACUGAAGCAACAGCUUCUACCGAAUGUACUGUACGAAUACGACCUUCAAAUACUAGUGCUGUGAAAGUCAUCUCUAAUGUACCCUGCCACGUAGGACUGGAACUGUUUCCAAAACUAGCUUCUCCUUAUGUGGCUAUCGAAGGGUAACGUCCCUCGUUUCUGGCCCUUCGACUUCAACGUAGACUUCACCAGCGGUGUUAGCUAGUACGCACUAAGCCCUCUUCGUCGAAUUGAAAGUCUGGUAGGAAUCAAACGCGUGUAUACACACGGAGACCAAAGUCACCCACCUAUAACCCAACUGACAACCGGUGCCAACCGAAAGAAAAACUUUUGUUCGACCCCAAGUCAGUUAGUAAAAAGUCCACAUUUACCAAAGGGUACCAAAGCAACGCCGCGUCUAAGUACCGCAGCUAUCUAACUUAAGACGUUACCGUCACUGUCACUAGUUUGUCACAAAUUAAAGGAAUAACAUUGCGGUACGAAGUUUCACGCAGACAUUUACGUCAUCUUUGUUUAAGUCGAGCACCCCCGUUAGCACCUACGAAAUAGUGAGAAUACUCCUAGAGUUAGGAACAAGAAUCUACGUUUUAGUACGGUACAAAAACCACGGCCUAGCGCCAAAUAUCUUUCCGGCACGGCUAACCC